ACCCCCUUCGCAGUCGGAAAAGGAAACCGCCCCGGGGAGAUUUCGGGGAGUUUGGGGUUUCUGAUGCGGACACCUUUUGUUUCUGUCAACUUGUUCCGGAGCUUCCAGCGGUAACUGGGAGCAGGAAAAGCAUCGCUGUGCCAAACCUCAAACCAUCAAGGAUCUUCUGCUCAAAACACGUUUUCACCUGGCUUCGGAAGGGAUCCAGGCUGGAGCUCCCAGGGGGAACGACAGAUCUGGGGACCUCCUGUGGUGGAAAGGCACAAAUCUCCCUACAGCCUGAAGCUGCGUGCCACACAGGCACACACUUCACCCCACCCCAUGGGGUUCAUGCCAGAAUCUUGUCCCCAGUCCUGCUCCCCACCCCUGUGUCUCUAAGCUAUGGUUUGCUUCCUGGGUAUCCCACAGUUCUUCAAUGGACAAAUCUGGUAGAAUUCAAAGCAAUUAAUUAAAAAGGAGCAGGCAAAAGCAA